rnacentral:rRNA from 1 species
AUUGAACGCUGGCGGCAGGCCUAACACAUGCAAGUCGAGCGGAGCGGCGGACGGGUGAGUAAUACCUAGGAAUCUGCCUUGUAGUGGGGGAUAACGUUCGGAAACGGACGCUAAUACCGCAUACUAUCAGAUGAGCCUAGUGCGGAUUAGCUAGUUGGUUGGGUAAUGGCUCACCAAGUCUACGAUCCGUAACUGGUCUGACAGGAUGAUCAGUCACACUGGAACAGAGACAGGGUCCAGAUUCCUCCGGGAGGGAGCAGAGGGGAAUAGUGGACAAUGGGCUAAAGCCUGAGCCAGCGAUGCCGCGUGUGUGAAGAAGGUCUUCGGAUGGUAAAGCACUUUAAGUUGUGAGGCGUUACCGACAGAAUAAGCACCGGCUAACUCCGUGCCAGCAGCCGCGGUAAUAC